AGGGGCUUAGGAUAGACACUAAACCAGGAGCCUUCAAAGCUCUAGACGAGAGUGAAAACCUCUCAGCCCCUG
rnacentral:tRNA from 1 species